GGGCAGAUAGCUCAGUUGGUAGAGCACAGGACUGAAAAUCCUGGUGUCGAGAGUUCGAUUCUCUCUCUGCCCA
rnacentral:tRNA from 1 species